CAUAUAUAUCCUUGUCUUUGUCAUCUUUGUCGAAUUUUCCGUCUACAUAUACGCCUUAUACUCCUUCUUUCCCUACCCUUUUUCUAUUUCUUCGUUUCCCAUCCAACCAAUUCUUUCUUUUUGGAUUUUCUCUCUGCUUUUGCAUUUUCCUCAGCCCUUUUGUUUUCACUCAAUUUAGCACUCCCUAGACUUCCCUCAAUCCGAUUAUUCCUUUCUAGGUCUUUGCCAAUUAAACUCUCUUCCUCAAAACAAGUUUCUAACAAUGCUUUGCCUGUCUUUUGGUCAAUUGGCUCACGAGCAAAAAUUGAUAAAACCGUCAAUUCAGGUUGUUAUGUUCAGGCUUAUAGUAAUGGGGAUGUCUAUGAAGGCGAGUUUCAUAAGGGAAAAUCUAGUGGAAGUGGAGUUUAUUACUAUUAUCUGAGUGGCAGGUUUGAAGGGGAUUGGGUUGAUGGCAAGUAUGAUGGCUAUGGGGUUGAAACUUGGGCAAGG
rnacentral:misc_RNA from 1 species